rnacentral:rRNA from 1 species
UACGUAGGGGCCUAGCGUUGUCCGGAUUUAUUGGGCGUAAAGAGCUCGUAGGCGGCACGGUCAGUCAGAUGUGAAAUCUCCACGCUCAACGUGGAGAGGUCAUUUGAUACUGCCGAGCUUGAGUCCGGUAGGGGAGUGUGGAAUUCCCGGUGUAGCGGUGAAAUGCGUAGAUAUCAGGAGGAACACCGGUGGCGAAGGCGCUCAUCUGGCCCAAUACUGACGCUGAAGCGCGAAAGCUAGGGGAGCAAACGGG